GUUGUGAUAGCCCUCGUAAUGUUGAAAGUAGCUGUAUUUAUUACUGACUUGAGUCAGGCAUUAAAAUAGCAGUGCCGCAGUUCAUCUCGAGUCACAGUGGAAACUGCAGGGAGAAGGCACAUUCAUAAGAACCAAAAUCCAGGGCAGCAUCCUAUGAAGCCACGUGUAAUGAUGGUCCCAUAAGGAAAGCAUGUGAAUAUGACUCUUGCAAAGGAUUAAAUCUUAUAAUUUUAGCUUAUGCUCUGUAGUCUGCUUUCUAGGGAAUUAUUUAAGCCCUUUUAGUGACCUUUGUCCUGACCCAUUUAAAAACUGAAAUGUAGUGUAUAUUGUAUAUUAUAGCUUCAUUAGGGAAAACUGUACAUAGGCAUUGAAAGAAGGGUAAAAGCAAGCAGUUUUAUCAUGCAAUUGUAAAACACCAAAAAUAUAGAUUUGUCUUUGAUAUGUAACACACUAAAUGUAUUUUGUACAGCAUCUGGUUUCAAAGGUGCCUUACUAAGUUUACUAUUACUUUCUUUGUUCUAUAUACAGAUUAUGUCCAAUGUAUCAUUUUUAAGUAAAUAACCUUAUUUUAGUACACUUUAGUGAUGUGUUUUGUGAUGCUACACUCAGAUGGUAUUGUGCAUCAGAAGUCGUCUGUUGAGAUUUUUAGCACAAGUAAAUUAGUGUGCAUACAUAAGUUCCUGAGAUGUGCACUUCAGCUACCAGAAACCCAGUAUGGGGCACAGGUACUCCUGCUGCAGUGGCAAGUGGAGCCUUGGAGAGCUUUCCUCCUGCUGGGCAACGCUGGUCAUUUCCCCACCUGCACUGAGUCCCACCAUUUGUUUUCAAGUGUAUGUGAAUUCAUCCCAGCAAAGUGCCUUCUGCUGCCUUUUCCUAGUGAACUGAACAUGUUAAAUCACAGACAAGAUGUGGCACAGGUGAGGUGA
rnacentral:lncRNA from 13 species